AGAUCGGGCCUUUCAGGCAUCCUCUCCUAAAACUUCAAGGGUCGGCCCUCACGGGCUGGCCCUUUUUUUCUGGCCCU
rnacentral:sRNA from 1 species